rnacentral:rRNA from 1 species
UACGAAGGGGGCUAGCGUUGUUCGGAAUCACUGGGCGUAAAGCGCACGUAGGCGGAUCUUUAAGUCAGGGGUGAAAUCCCGAGGCUCAACCUCGGAACUGCCCUUGAUACUGGGGAUCUCGAGUCCGGGAGAGGUGAGUGGAACUGCGAGUGUAGAGGUGAAAUUCGUAGAUAUUCGCAAGAACACCAGUGGCGAAGGCGGCUCACUGGCCCGAUACUGACGCUGAGGUGCGAAAGCGUGGGGAGCAAACAGG